UUUUAUUUGUGUUACGAAUUCCAACUUUAUUAUUAUUUACUCAAGAGCUUUCAAGCGCUGGGCGAAAUUGAGAACGGGCUCCAAAAACACUCGCGCCCAGCGAGCGUGGGGCGCUCUCACUCUGCCUCCCCUUUCCCCCCUGUUUAAAGUUUCAACGACCGUCAUCCGCGUUGGAGCCCUGGCGACCCCGACGAGCCUCUCCGGUGACCCGAUGGGACGUGUACACGGCACUGCGUCCCUCCCUCUCUCUGAUGCUCUCUCUGCUCGGUUGUCGUUGGUCGGUCCCUCUCGCUGCUCUCCCUCUCCGGUACCUGUCGCCACCUCGUUCCCGAUCUAGUUUCUCCGCCCCCCGCUCCUCUCCUUCAACGACGGUAGCAAAACCCUAAUUGCAAGGCUUCUAGUUCUCAUCUUCUUAGUUACCUGUUGGUCGUCUUCAUGACCCCUAAUUUCGGUUUCCUUCAGCAUGAACCCGAAAAUUGAUGGUUUGCGUUGCAUAGUUUCUUCGGAUUUGCAUAAAUCUCAUAAUCCGUUGUUGUUCUGAUUGUUAAUUACUGAAUAUAGAUGAUUCACAAAUAUUGCUUAAUUAUUCCAGCAAAAUAACUUUAUAACUGGUUCGCUUGGAAAUUGCAAAUUAUCUGAAUCUUUCUUAAAACUUUAUACGGAGCGUGGAGAGCUAGCCAACGCCGCCGCCACCUCCUUGCUAGAGAAAGACGGUGGAGCCCAUUCUCUCACUCCCUGUCUGUGUGUGUCGGCGGUAUUUCCUCUCUCUCUCUCUCUAGCUUUUCUUCUCCUUCCUUUUAGUUGGUGUAGUUUCUAGGGAUCAUUGACGGUAUUUUUUCUUUUUUCUUUUUUUUCUUUUUUUCUUUUUGAUGAAAAGACCAUCGAGGGGUUCGUUCGGUGUCUUCGAGCGAUUUUUUCUUUUCGUAACCAAAACAGGGUUGCUUCAUUUGUUUUGAUCUCAUCAACCCCAGAGUUUUCUCUUUCUAUUUGGUGGAAGGUUCUCCUGGAAAUCUAGAAUGCAUUGGACGAUUUCCUUGUCUAGUUUCUUGAGUGGUUAGUCAUUGUCCUUGCGCAGCUGGGCUUGCUUUGUUCGAUAAAUCCCUCCUAUAUCAGGUAGAAUUUCAAACUGAGUGGAUAAUUUUCUCUACAAGUAUGGCUAAGUCAUUACCUAACAGCAUGGUUACCGGCAUCUUCAUGUCUACUCCUUUGUUUAAGUCAAAGGUAAGAAUACUUACUUCACACCUUGUUAUUUUACUGCCCUCCUUAUUUGCUUAUAGGAGUGCUUAACUUUUUCUACAAUAAAUCAUAUACCAAAAUCCUGAAAAUCGAUUUGCAUGUUACGAAAAAAGAUGAUCAUUGAUUCUGGUUCAUGAGUCAAACUGAGCAUUGUUUCUCAUUGCCCCUUUCAGAUGUUCAACUCAUACUGAAGAUCUUAAUUUGUAAGCGCCAGUCCUAGCACGUGCUAGAUGUAUUUAAACCACCCUAGCUUGCUUUCGCACUUUCUAGCCAAGUGACAUUUCUGAGAUUCUUCUAAUGUACUUAUCUCAAAAUCUUAAUGCAUGUCCAUUAUCAUGCCUUUUCUGUAACAUUUAUCUGCUCAUGUACCUUCUGCACUGCCUGCAUUCAUAUUCAUACAAUAUAUCUGGUCCCAUAGCUAAUAUUGACCUUUUUUUAUCUUAAUAUAUGUGAUGGUCACAGACUCCAUGCUAUUUAAACCAAACAGGGGGCAUCUAUGUUUUUUGUCCAAUUAUUGUGAAAAUAUUUCAAGUUUCUAAAAACAAUUUGCUUGUGGAUCCUCUUGUAGUUCGGUUUACUUUCUCUAUUCUAUUAAAGUGGCAUAUACAUUCUGUGCUAUUAGAUUGUUGAUUGUUUUUUUUUUCUUUGAAGUUCCCUUGUACACUUAAUUGAGUGCUGACUUAAAGUACUUGAUUUUUUCCCCCAAGAGAAUGAUUAGAAAGACUCCAAAGUCUAAUCCAAUUCAUUAAGAGUAUGGAUAGACAGCAUUACAAAUCAAAAACACCAUCCCUGCCUGUACAAGGGGUUAAAGUUCUUGAAACUAUGACUUUGUCUUGGAUAUUAACCAUGAAAAUAUAUUUAGCUAGUGUGAAAACUAUGGCUUUAUAAUUGACGCCGGUGGAGGUUUCUGUCAUCAGGAAUGCACUGAUCUCUAUGUGGUUUAUAUGAUUGCAAUCACUCACUCUCUAGGCAUUUACAUGGUCUUUCAUCCCAAAUCUAAUAAGUUCUGUUGGUAAUCAAUAACAACAGUAGAAAAUCAAAAGUGUGUGAAUUGGUCCACCUUUUGUUGAUUUUCCAUCUAUAGUGGGAUGAAGUCAAAUUGGUUUUACAUAGAGAUAUUUUAUUAAAAACCAAUAAAGAGCCCUGAUGAGGAACCUUGCUAAAUGUCCCCAUGGAGAAAUCGAAAAUUUAGGUUGUGGGACAUAUAAUUUACCUAAUUUAUUAGUGUGCCACCCAAAUGAUUGUGCCUAAGGAUGAAGUGAGAUAAAAAUCUUACGAAACAGAUGCAGUGUCAAUUGAAAUACAAAACAAUAUGGAAUAACCUGGCUUAUCUUGACAAAGAAAUCUUUUCUUGUUCAUACUCAAAACUCAUGUAGGCAUAUUAUGUACUUAAUGCAUACUUAGGGUAUAUUUGGAUUUGGUUGCAACUAAAAUUGCUCGGAAAACUUGUUUUCUUUGAAAAAUCUUGUUUUCCAUUUAUUUUUCGCAUUGGAAAUUCAACAAAUUUGGAAAGUUUAUAACUAGUUUUCUGGGAAACUUUUGCCUUUCCAUGGAUAAGUCCUACUUUUCCCUUUCCUUUUUCAUGAUUUUCCUUGCAGCCAAACAUACCCUUAAUGGAGAGCUUUUCUUACUGUUCCAGCACUCAGUAGUUAUGCAUCUUUAUUCCGAUUUUUCUUUUGUAUAUCUGCUCUAUAAUAAACUAUCAAACUUGUGAAUAGGCUGCAUCACUACUGGGAUUUCAGCAAGUCAUGAAAUAUUCUUCAACAUUAUGUUCUUGACCAAACAUAUAUUAUGUUGCUUAAAAAUACUGGUACCUCUGAGGUUGUAGGAUAUCAAGGAAGUUCUUGUCAUGGUUUAUAUGAAGGGACUUCCUGAUGCUCCUCCGUGCGGAUUCAGUGCGUUUGCAGUGAGUGCAAAACUCUUAGUUACUGCAUGCCAGACUGACUUUUGUGAGAUUGAAGUACUUCUAUCUUUGAAGGGUGUUGAAAUGUUAGCUUCUGCGCGUUAUGCUUUUCCAUAUGGUUAUACAGGAGUCCUGUUAGUGCAAGAUAUAUUUUGAAACAUCCUGAGCUCAAGGAGGAUGUGAAAGCCUGCUCUUAAGUAUCUUUUUUUUCGUGAAGUCUCUCUCUCUCUCUCUCUCUCUCUCUCUCUCUCUCUCUCUCUCCAAUCUAAAUUAUUUGGAUCUUUUAAGUUUUGGACUGCUGGAGCAAAAAAGUACAAUAGUACACAUAAUUUCAGUGAUAUCAUAAGGCUAAAGAAAUUAUAGGUUUCAAAAAGUUGCAAUAUAACAUUAAAUCAUGGAAAGUUCAAGUAGAAAACUUUCCUACCAAGUCAACAAAUAAAACCUAAUACUAGAGUUAUGCCUAGCUAUCUAAAAAAUUGUAUGGACCAUAAAUCUGCUUGCCAAUCUAAUAGACAGACCACCCACAGAUGUGAUUAGUUGACAAAGUAGCUUACAUGUUAGCUGAACAGCAGCAGAUAGUUGAUGAUUGUACUUUUGGCUACUAGGACAUUGUGGUGUGUCUUACCUGUUGAACAGGCUGUGUUGGGUCCUGGUCUCUCUCUCUCUCACACACACAUAGAGUACGGGUGCGCGUUCAUGUGCGCAUGCAUGUAAGCAUGCACAUGAGUAUAUGUGUGAGCUUGCAGGCGUGCUUGUGUUAAAAGUGUCACUUCUAUCUAUUUAGAUACUAUCAGAUAUGUGAAUGAUCAGUCCACUGCAUUUAUUCAGUUUGUACUUGCAAAUAGUGGCAAUGUGUUUGGAAAUAAAUGUGCACUUCAAGAGAUAUCUUCAAAGUGAUGGCAUGGUCGUAGGUUUUUAGAUGCUUAUUAUAAUGAUGAUUAAUUUAUGGUACAGUAACAUCUUUUUUCAGAUUUUUCAUAUCAAUAUUAUAAAUGCCAAUUGUUUGUGGAUCUCUCAUCUCUAGUUGUUUAUUUUAUAUAAUUUCUUAUUCUUCUUUAUUAUUAAUUUUAUGCAUUGAGAUGCUUUCUUUAUGAACCUACCAAAGAACAAACUAAAAGGUUUCUGCAGAUGCUGUUGCCAUUGAAGUGAAGGAUUCGGUAUUUCUGCGGUAUUUUUUUUCUACGUUCCUCAAAUCAUUCCUUAUUUGUUUUCCUAAUGCAGCCAACCUAUGUUAUAUAGGCAACUAAAUGACAACUCCAUGAUGAGGCCCACUGAAAUUCCAAUAUAAGAGAAAAGAAAAAAAUAUAUUCAAAUAUCCCUACUUCAUUGAUUUCUGACUGCUAGAUCAGAUCAAUAAGCUGCUUUUUGAUUUAUUCUUUUUAACUCAGAUAAAUUGUACUCUUUCUAUUUGUGCAGCAAUUGGCCUACAUGUUCUCAGAUUUUUAUAAAGGGGGAGUUCAUUGGGGGAUCAGACAUUGUUCUUAAUGUGUAUCAGAAAGUUGAACUCAAGGAAUUGCUGAUGGAGACUGAGGCAUAAAACUCUUUCCAACUCAUCGGGGUGUUUUUGCGAUGGUAAUUUGUUCCAGUUUUAUUAUUGCUUGACAAUCCAACAUGAAUCUUCCAGAUAUUCUUUUUCAUCCAAAAUAUGACUUCGGAUUCUAUGUUGGAUAUUUUUGAUUCAAGAUAUUGCUAAGCAUCAAUGUAUAUAUACUCCUUGCUAUCAGAGCAGCCUUAGACCUGCUGCUCUCAGCUAAAGCCCUGAACAGCAUGCUUGGACCUGGCUGCUGCUGCUAAUCAUUGGGACGUUCCAUGCAAGGAUGUCAAGGACGCCAAGUGUUCAGGCCCGAUGCCUCCUAAGUUGUAUGCUAGAUUUUAUUAGGUCUUCCCAUAAUUGGAGCCAACAAAUUUCUUACCUUGAAGAGGAUAGCUGCGAACCGUGCCAGAGUAAAUCAAAAUGACAAGUGUGGUAGAAUUGAGAUCAACAUGCGAGUUGGAUUAAAUGUGACAAACUGAAAGCUUCUAAUCUCGCUCAGUCCUACACAAAAUUAAGAAAAUGGGGAAAUGACUAAUGGCUAGGACACAUGGGUGCUCCAAUUCUCCGGAAAGUCUCUCAUUGCCACCAAAAUUAAAUGCACGAGGCGGUAACAGGUCAGAGCGUGUCCUGUUCGAUCUCCCUAAAUGGAACAAACUAUAGGAUCGGGCAUCCUGAACUCUGAACCUGGAGAAAGGACAGUGUGCAAACCUCUGGGUCAUGCCCUGGUCGAUGAUACAUAUGCCACUGUGAUUCUCGUGGCGGGGAGACUGAUUUCUGGAAAGACUGAUUUCUUUCUCGUUAGAAAUAGGCACGCGGGAGACAUCGUGGAAAACACAUGGAGAACCAACCAUUGCAGACUUCUUCAGAAUUUCGUAUGAUCAAUGGAGUAGCCAGCCAGCGGGGAUCUCUGCUGAAGCUUGGAUUUCGGUGAUCUUGCAUAGGUUUGAUGUGUACUCCCUUCAUGGUUUGGGAGUUGGGAUGCACAACAUGCACCAUGGGCCGGAGCAUCUCUUUCACGUCCUGAGGGUCCAACGUUGCAUAACCGAGGCAGAUAUGUCCGGCCGAUACCCAAGUGUGUCAUGGGCGGUUGGCAUGUAUAGUGGUUCCAUGAGUGGCUGAUCCGAUCUGAUCUGUGUUCGUCCAGUUGUGUUCGACGACAUAUUGAGCGAGGAGUAGGUUUCUGCGCCAGUAGAUUUCCCAAACUGACUGACGACAAGAUAGAUGGAUACAUCGACCGAUGUCCGGAUGAGAUCCAGAUUGCAUGCAUUUGGUCUCAUUCCCUUUCCAAAUCACCAUUCCAUUUGGCCUCAUUCUAUUUGUGAUAUCUGCAUCGUAUCCAGUAUCUCGCCGGUUGCCAGGCUGGGGAGUUGGGGUUGGUGAAGGAGCUCACCGGCUCUCGACUGAUGGCGGUGGAUUCCGGCGGAUUCCAGCAAGAGAAGAGUAAUUAAUGACUCUUGAAGUAGAGAAACAGGGCAAAGGGAAAACUAGAGAGCGGAGAGGCUUCAGGCAGCAGCAGUUGAUCGAGGUGGCGUAGCAACCACCGGGGACGAUGGGGAAGCGGAGAUCAGCGAUGGAUCAUGCGGGGGGAAAGAGGGGACUAAAUCGAGCGAUCGAGGAGAAAAAGGUGGAAGAUAAGGUCGGUAGUUCCGAGGUUUGUCUCGGCCGUUCGACGGCUGAGGGUGGUUCCAACGGCUGCCGGCAGUUCUCACUGGCUUCAAGACCCCACACCGGCCACACCUCGCACCUCCGAUCGGAAGCUCGGACAGGAGAUCGGGAUUUCCCUAUUCCCAUCUUCUUUUUUUUUAUUUGUAUUUUAGACUGACAUCUGUUGGGUGUGCCGACUUCAGUCCAAUAUGGGCCUAUUUUGGGCCGGCUAUCCACAUAGAAACACAAGAUCCGCAGAAUUCUUGUUCUAGUUAUCAAUUUCCACUAGAUAUGGGAGCACAUUUAAUUGGCUCUCGACUGCAGCGAAUCAAGAUGAUGUUAGAAGUGUGCCGUCAGAACAUGCUGACGGCUCCAUCGAGUCAGCCCAGAUCGACCCUAGAAAGAAAAGGCAAAGUGUGCAUAUUGCUUCACCUAAGUUGGAGUACAUUUUGUACCUGAUUUUUUCCCUCCUGUAAUCCUGUUAUGUACUUGAGAUGAUCAGGAAGGAAACGACUAUGCAAGAGGACAGCCAGCAUUGCUCCUGCAGGAAGUCUCAACUGCUCGAAACUGCUGUGACUGCUUCAGGAUCAUUUUGGGCCGAAGCCCGUCGACGCCAGGACUGGUACAGCACACGCGAGAGUGAAGACACAGCGACUGCUACCGUGACUGAUGCAUUUGCUCCCGGGAUUAUCCUGCCUGUCACCAAUUUCCGAAGCCUUGGUAGGGAGAGGAUUCCUCGUUAAUUAUGUCAGCCGGAGAAGUUGCACUUUACUCCCAUGAGUCCAAACUGAUUGCCCUCAUAUUCUGCGGGAUAUUAGGAAAAUGAUAACAACCUCUGGCAGGCGUAGAGGAGGAUGCAGCUGCAUGCAGGAAGUCCAUAAGAAUUUUUAGGGUAUGGCAAAAGUGGCUCCAGAAUUAAGUCUAUCAAAUGCAAUAUUUUUGGAGUUUAGGGUUGUGAUCUUUGACAUUUCAGAAUGAAAGUCGAAAUUGCCAAAUUCGAUUAUACCUCUCUCUAAUGCAACAGUAUGUAGUCUAAUAGCUGACGCUGUAUAUCCCUGGUUAAACCGAGAACAGACGUUCGUUUGGUUUGGUUUAAGUUUAUUUUUAACCAUC